rnacentral:rRNA from 1 species
UAAGCGGAGGAAAAGAAACUAACAAGGAUUCCCCUAGUAACGGCGAGUGAAGCGGGAAGAGCUCAAAUUUGAAAUCUGGUGGCCUCAGGUCAUCCGAGUUGUAAUCUAUAGAAACGUUUUCCGUGCUGGCUCAUGUACAAGUCCCUUGGAACAGGGCGUCAUAGAGGGUGAGAAUCCCGUCCUUGACAUGAACUACCAGUGCUCUGUGAUACGUUUUCAACGAGUCGAGUUGUUUGGGAAUGCAGCUCAAAAUGGGUGGUAAAUUCCAUCUAAAGCUAAAUAUUGGCGAGAGACCGAUAGCGAACAAGUACCGUGAGGGAAAGAUGAAAAGCACUUUGGAAAGAGAGUUAAACAGUAUGUGAAAUUGUUAAAAGGGAAACGAUUGAAGUCAGUCGUGCUCUUUGGAUUCAGCCGGUUCUGCCGGUGUACUUCCAUUGAGUGGGGUCAACAUCAGUUUUGAUCGCUGGAUAAAGGCAGGAAGAAGGUAGCACCUCCGGGUGAACUUAUAGCUUUCUGUCGCAUACAGUGGUUGGGACUGAGGAACGCAGCAUGCCUUUAUGGCCGGGAUUCGUCCACGUACAUGCUUAGGAUGUUGACAUAAUGGCUUUAAACGACCCGUCUUGAAACACG